rnacentral:lncRNA from 1 species
CAGCCUUCAGCACAAGAAGGAACUUAGAGACUUAAGGGUCCACCGGGUUUCUUAAAUCUGUGCUUGGAUUACAGCAUUGUAACCAAUGCAUAUAGGAUGUAGGAAAAUACUGUGAAAUGGCAACUUCUCUUAUUCUGUAAGGAAUGCUUGUGCUGUUCAAGACCACAGAUGAGUGUUUGUAUUGAACAGAUCUCCCUUGUUUGGAACAGAAGAAGCAGCCCAACUGCAGAGCAUGCUGCCUCCUUGGCCCUCCUCCACCGCCCCUGUUCCCACCACCAUACUUCAGGCACAGCUGGAGAACUAAGCUGGAUGUGGAAGAGCUGUGUCAUGAGCUCCAGACAAUACAGGCUUCCUCUCUGCCUGAACCUCACUGUUCUGCAGGGCCUCCUGGCCCCCAGGGUCCACAAGGAAUUCCUGGUAUAAUGGGACCAAAAGGAGAGAAAGUAAGUGUCUGUUGUCAUGGAGUUUGAUGUGGUUUUGAGGAGCAAAGAAGCAGGGGAGGGUGUU